UUGAUUCCUGACCAAGUUGUCCAUCUGCGCUGUUUAGAUUGCACAUUGACGAAAGCACAGGUCAGGUCCCCACUCCAAACAAUAUUUCAGUGAACAGUAGUAGGUGAAAGUUGACAAAAGUGUCUUCCUUCUACAUUUCCUCUCUUCCUAGAGGUGGAUCCUGCCUACCAAGAUCAAGCCACACGUCUUCCUCCUGGUUCCAGCAGAGCCAGAAAUCAGGAGGCCAGCCUAGCCAAAGCCCCAGCUGUUGUCACUGAUACCAAGGCCACUGAGCUCAGCCUGGAGCAUGCCAGUGAUGGGGCAGAAAGGGCCUGCUGCAUUCCCAGACAAUGAGAUAGGUGGUCACUGGACAGCUGCUACACCCCUCUGAUGGAUGGGGCUGCCCCGCCCAGGCUUUGUGGAGGCAGCCUCCCUGAGCUGGAAUGAAAGGCUGCCCGGAACAUUGCGCAGGCUCUGGUUCAGCCUGCCUUGAUGGAGUUCCCAGACCUCUGCUUGGAGCAUCUCUGCCUGUUUGUGCAAUUACAGGGGAAGGCAGGGCUCUGGGCCUGACACAGACCAGGGGGAGGAAUGCCUGGCUUGGGUGGGGGAAGAAAUGGCUGCCUCAAAGAUCUGAAGGUAGGAAAGACAAUGUCCAGGGAAGCAGAGUCAGGGAGAACCUGGAGGCAGAGAAGCUACCUUGGAGGCUCUAGAUGUGAUCCAAAGGAGAGAUGGCUCUUGAAUACUGGUCUGGAACCCUGUUUGGAAAACAAUGAUUGUUUCCAGGACAACACCCAGAAUGUGCCAUGAAAUGAUUCUGUAUGGGGAGGUCCAGAGGGAGAAGCUGAAACAUCCAAGUAGAAGAUGGGCUUUUGUUGUUCAGUCAUGAUGUCUGACUCUUCCUGACCUCUUCUGGGGUUUUCUUGGCAAAGA